GAGUUUGAUCCUGGCUCAGAUUGAACGCUGGCGGCAUGCUUUACACAUGCAAGUCGAACGGCAGCACGGGGGCAACCCUGGUGGCGAGUGGCGAACGGGUGAGUAAUAUAUCGGAACAUGUCCGGAAGUGGGGGAUAGCUCGGCGAAAGCCGGAUUAAUACCGCAUAUGCCCUGAGGGGGAAAGGAGGGGAUCCGCAAGGACCUUUCGCUUUCGGAGUGGCCGAUAUCGGAUUAGCUAGUUGGUGAGGUAAAGGCUCACCAAGGCGACGAUCCGUAGCUGGUCUGAGAGGACGACCAGCCACACUGGAACUGAGACACGGUCCAGACUCCUACGGGAGGCAGCAGUGGGGAAUUUUGGACAAUGGGGGAAACCCUGAUCCAGCCAUGCCGCGUGAGUGAAGAAGGCCUUCGGGUUGUAAAGCUCUUUCAGACGGAAAGAAACGGUUACGGCUAAUACCCGUGACUAAUGACGGUACCGUCAGAAGAAGCACCGGCUAACUACGUGCCAGCAGCCGCGGUAAUACGUAGGGUGCGAGCGUUAAUCGGAAUUACUGGGCGUAAAGCGUGCGCAGGCGGUUUUGUAAGACAGGCGUGAAAUCCCCGGGCUUAACCUGGGAACUGCGUUUGUGACUGCAAGACUAGAGUACGGCAGAGGGGGGUAGAAUUCCACGUGUAGCAGUGAAAUGCGUAGAUAUGUGGAGGAAUACCGAUGGCGAAAGGCAGCCCCCUGGGUCGAUACUGACGCUCAUGCACGAAAGCGUGGGGAGCAAACAGGAUUAGAUACCCUGGUAGUCCACGCCCUAAACGAUGUCAACUAGUGUUGG
rnacentral:rRNA from 1 species